GUGCCAGCAGCCGCGGUAAUACGGAGGGGGCUAGCGUUGUUCGGAAUUACUGGGCGUAAAGCGCGCGUAGGCGGAUUGGAAAGUUGGAGGUGAAAUCCCAGGGCUCAACCUUGGAACUGCCUUCAAAACUAUCAGUCUAGAGAUCGAGAGAGGUGAGUGGAAUUCCGAGUGUAGAGGUGAAAUUCGUAGAUAUUCGGAGGAACACCGAUGGCGAAGGCAAUCCCCUGGGCCUGCACUGACGCUCAUGCACGAAAGCGUGGGGAGCAAACAGGAUUAGAUACCCUGGUAGUCCACGCCCUAA
rnacentral:rRNA from 1 species